UGGGGAAUAUUGGACAAUGGGCGCAAGCCUGAUCCAGCCAUGCCGCGUGAGUGAUGAAGGCCCUAGGGUUUUAAAGCUCUUUCACCGGUGAAGAUAAUGACGGUAACCGGAGAAGAAGCCCCGGCUAACUUCGUGCCAGCAGCCGCGGUAAUACGAAGGGGGCUAGCGUUGUUCGGAUUUACUGGGCGUAAAGCGCACGUAGGCGGACUUUUAAGUCAGGGGUGAAAUCCCGGGGCUCAACCCCGGAACUGCCUUUGAUACUGGAAGUCUGGAGUGUGGUAGAGGUGGGGGGAAUUCCGAGUGGAGAGGUGAAAUUCGUAGAUAUUCGGAGGAACACCAGUUGCGAAGGCGGCUCACUGGACCAUUACUGACGCUGAGGUGCGAAAGCGUGGGGAGCAAACAGG
rnacentral:rRNA from 1 species